rnacentral:rRNA from 1 species
GGAAUAUUGGUCAAUGGAGGCAACUCUGAACCAGCCAUGCCGCGUGCAGGAAGACCGCCCUCUGGGUCGUAAACUGCUUUUAUUCGGGAAUAAACCUCAUUACGUGUAGUGGGCUGAAUGUACCGAAGGAAUAAGUAUCGGCUAACUCCGUGCCAGCAGCCGCGGUAAUACGGAGGAUCCAAGCGUUAUCCGGAUUUAUUGGGUUUAAAGGGUGCGUAGGCGGCUUAUUAAGUCAGGGGUGAAAGACGGUGGCUCAACCAUCGCAGUGCCCUUGAUACUGAUGAGCUUGAAUACACUAGAGGUAGGCGGAAUGUGACAAGUAGCGGUGAAAUGCAUAGAUAUGUCACAGAACACCGAUUGCGAAGGCAGCUUACUAUGGUGUGAUUGACGCUGAGGCACGAAAGCGUGGGGAUCAAA